rnacentral:rRNA from 1 species
UACGGAGGGGGCUAGCGUUGUUCGGAAUUACUGGGCGCAAAGCGCACGUAGGCGGCUUUGUAAGUUAGAGGUGAAAGCCCGGGGCUCAACUCCGGAAUUGCCUUUAAGACUGCAUCGCUAGAAUUGUGGAGAGGUAAGUGGAAUUCCGAGUGUAGAGGUGAAAUUCGUAGAUAUUCGGAAGAACACCAGUGGCGAAGGCGGCUCACUGGCCCGGUACUGACGCUGAGGUGCGAAAGCGUGGGGAGCAAACAGG